rnacentral:other from 1 species
AAUCCCCUGCGGUGUUUGUGUCGGCCGUAGAUUCCUUGAACCAAUGUCUAGCGACGUGGCUGCAGACCGGAAGUAUGCCGUUGCGCGCACCCCUUCGCGGGUGUGCCUGAAGCGUCAGGAAUGCGACCGACCUGAAUCUUCGGUUCAGGAUGCCCGGCCGGGACGGCAUUGCGGGGGACCU